rnacentral:rRNA from 1 species
UACGUAGGGUGCAAGCGUUGUCCGGAAUUAUUGGGCGUAAAGAGCUCGUAGGCGGUCUGUCGCGUCUGCUGUGAAAACUCGGGGCUUAACCCCGGGCCUGCAGUGGGUACGGGCAGACUAGAGUGUGGUAGGGGAGACUGGAAUUCCUGGUGUAGCGGUGAAAUGCGCAGAUAUCAGAAGGAACACCGAUGGCGAAGGCAGGUCUCUGGGCCACUACUGACGCUGAGAAACGAAAGCAUGGGGAGCGAACAGG